UCUGUUCAUAAUAAACAUAAAUAGUAGGUAAGAGUGAUCUUAACAUGUAUAGUAGGGUAAAACAAUACAGGUCCCCAAUACUGGUGUACAGUAGGGUAAAACAAUACAGGUCCCCAAUACUGGUGUACAGUAAAACAAUACAGGUCCCCAAUACUGUGUACAGUAGGGUAAAACAAUACAGGCCCCCAAUACUGGUGUACAGUAAAACAAUACAGGUCUCCAAUACUGGUGU